UACGGGGGGGGCAAGCGUUGUUCGGAAUUACUGGGCGUAAAGGGCUCGUAGGCGGCCAACUAAGUCGGAUGUGAAAUCCCCAGGCUCAACCUGGGAACUGCAUCCGAUACUGGAUGGCUUGAAUUCGGGAGAGGAAGGCGGAAUUCUCGGUGUAGAGGUGAAAUUCGUAGAUAUCGAGAGGGACACCGGUGGCGAAGGCGGCCUUCUGGACAGUGACUGACGCUGAGACGCGAAAGCGUGGGGAGCAAACAGG
rnacentral:rRNA from 1 species